rnacentral:rRNA from 1 species
GCUUACACAUGCAAGUCGAACGGUGAAGAAGAGCUUGCUCUUUGGAUCAGUGGCGAACGGGUGAGUAACACGUGAGUAACCUGCCCUUGACUCUGGGAUAAGCGUUGGAAACGACGUCUAAUACCGGAUACGACCCUCGGAGGCAUCUCCAGGGGGUGGAAAGAAUUUCGGUCAAGGAUGGACUCGCGGCCUAUCAGCUUGUUGGUGAGGUAAUAGCUCACCAAGGCGACGACGGGUAGCCGGCCUGAGAGGGUGACCGGCCACACUGGGACUGAGACACGGCCCAGACUCCUACGGGAGGCAGCAGUGGGGAAUAUUGCACAAUGGGCGAAAGCCUGAUGCAGCAACGCCGCGUGAGGGACGACGGCCUUCGGGUUGUAAACCUCUUUUAGUAGGGAAGAAGCGAAAGUGACGGUACCUGCAGAAAAAGCACCGGCUAACUACGUGCCAGCAGCCGCGGUAAUA